UGUGCAAAGGUAGCAUAAUCAUUUGUCUCAUAAUUGGAGUCUGGCAUGAAGGAGUUUUUGGGUAAAAGCUGUCUCCGAGGGUUUAUUAGAAAUUAUUUAGCAAGUGAAAAUACUUGUAGAUAUUUAAUAGACGAGAAGACCCUAGAAAUUUUAUAUAAUAUAUAUUGUUCAUAUUUGUUAUUUUGUUGGGGCGACAGAAUAACAAUUAACUUAUUUUAUUUGUUAGAACUAUAUGUUGAGUUAAAUUAAAUUACUCUAGGGAUAACAGCAUAAUCUAUUAGAGUUUGUGACCUCGAUGUUGGACUAGGAAGCUUAGUAUUUAGAAGACACUAAUAUAGGCUCUGUUCGAGCAUUA
rnacentral:rRNA from 1 species